AAAGGGCUGCGGGCUCGCAGGAGGAGUCUGUGUGAAUGGGGCUGCCCUUGACGAUGGGUGCUGUCUCCCACACGGCUGCCCCGAGGUCGCCGCGGGACAGCGAGAACCGUCCUGCUGUAGCAGGGCAGGUCUUUGUCCCACUUUGCUCGUUUGUCCCGAAAAGGAACAGCGUUGAACAUCCUUACUCGAGGCCUAAUACCAGCAGCUGUCCCAGUGGUGCUUGAACCACUGCUGGAAAGCUGGUAACCAUAUCACUGGGGAUGGCAUUCCCUUGGUGAAACCUGUCUGGUAGGGAGUAGGUGGCCGUCCCUGGCCACGCAGGGUGAGAGCUGUUCAUUCUAAUGAUGCUGCUUAAGAAGGGCCAGCAACAGAGGCUGGUGCUCUCACACACGGGUCAGCUUUGUUAUGCCCAGAGUGGAUACACUCAAUGGAUCCUCUGAAUUCCAGGAAUACGGCCAGACAUUAUUUCCCCUUAGGUGGGAUGUUGCUGGGUACUCUCUCUGCCCACCCUCACUGUGUUGCUGGUUGCAGAAGUUCUCAGAGCACUCUGGUGGCUCUCUCUGUGCCUUGUGCAGGCAGUAAUGACCAAAGGGUGGGCAGGGUCUUGCAGGUUGCGUGCUGCUGUAUCUCACUGCUGCAGUCACACCAACAUGUCCCAUAUGCUUAGCAAACUCCACUUUGAGCUUCUCUCCGUUCUGCUGAGAACCACUCCAAGCCUUUCUGCCCCAAAGCUCCCAUAUCUUUUUCCGAUAUCUUUUAAUCCCCAGCUUGAAUAUACCAAUGGCUACUUCACAGUUACUGAUUUUUGUGCAACUUUUAUCUUUGUACUUUCACAUCUUUUUCUCAUAUUUUCCCCCCUUCUACUUGUCUCUCAGUAGCAAUUAUAUCCCUUCAGUCCCUUUUGUUAGUCUAAAUAGGACAAACAUUUGGAAUUUUCCUCCCAUUGGACAAAUUCUCCUUUCUGUUACUGUUGUGGCCAUCCUUCAUUGCACCGGUUUGGGUUACCCUGAAGGACAGGGGUAAGGGUUUUCCCAGUGUCACUGCUGUGACUCAAGAUUUAAGAUCAAUGGGCCUUUUGUUUCUAAAUCCAAUUCAGAGGGCUUUUAAGAACAUAUCUGAUGCGGACAGUGAGCAUAUCCAAGUUUGGAGUCCAAGCCUGAUAUCCAGCCACAAAACAACAACUCUGCUGAUUCUGAGAGCUUGUACGAACAUUUGUAAUCACAGGAGGGAAUCUAAGAGCCAUUCAAACAACAGAUAAGAUUAGUAACGAAAGUGGCUGAGAUGAGAUUGUUAUUGUGCAAGUCAAAGAAAAGCCCAUCACACACGGAUGAUGUUGCCAAGAAACACACAUCUGAGCGGCAGAGCCACUCUUCUUCCCAUCACUGUCCAAAUUCUCCUCCUUCUUUCCAGCUCUGUUCAGCCCAGUGGAAGUAUCCAUUGGAUUAGGAGGUGAUUAAAUUUUGGUAUGACACCAAACAAAGCUCUUCUCUCAUGCUGCAACGUCAGGUCUCUUCCUGGGUGCAGUCCUUGCCCAGCACUCCCACCAUGGAACAGGCAGCAUGUUCUGGUUUAUGCAGAACUCAAGUACUCCCUGAGCCAUGCUGAGGCUUGCAGCAAGAGAGCCAUCAACAAAGCAUCUGCUACAGGUUUGGAGCUGGAGCAGUCAGAAAGAAAUUACAGCAGUUUGGGGGUGUCUGAAGUUGUGCAAAGGCGUGGAGGAGCUGGAGUGUGCAAAACAAUGGCAAAAGCUUCCUCUGCUGUCCACAUGGAUCCUGCUCAGCACACGCCUUUGGAGAGCAGCUCAGUGUGGCUUGUGUGCUGAGAGCCUUCCUUGCCCCGUGAACAAGCCCCAUCGUGUGCAAUGAACAAGAAACCAGCACACCACAUCUGUAAGUCAUUUAGGAAGAUGGGAAUGAUGAGCUGUGCACACAAUAGAGUUGCUAUUAAGUCUGUCGAUCCUAAUUAAAAAAGUACUUCUCAAUGAAAAUUAUUUAUAAAAAGAAAUUGCAGUGACCCUAAAUCAAAUUAUUUGUGAAUGGUUUUUAGUCUCCCAGAUCAGUUAAAACUCCCAUGUUAGUCACUGGAUGUCAUCCAAACUACAUGCUGAAUGAAUAGCAUGUCUGCCAAAUUCCUUUUUUUUUCACCCUCACCCAGUUUGGCACAGGACAGCCAAAGUCAUUUUUCUAAAUAUCUUUCAGAACAUCAAGCAACUGUAAAAUAACAAUGGAAAAGCUUGGCCACAUCUAACUACAGCCCUCCAGUUGUAACCGCUUCUCUUGGGAAAGGCACUGCAGUUCCUUUGAUGCUGGUUUGGGUGAGCACUUGUGGGGGGGUCUGAGUGCAGCUCCAGGAGUGGAACGGGGCCGUGCGGGCACCUGCUGCAGGGCAAGGAGCACUGAUGGCCUGAGGAUGUGCCAACUGCUUCUGAUCCAAAAGCAGUGCCCAUGAAGAUGGCUCACUCUUCAAAAACUGAAGGAAAGAAAAAAAAAACAACAAAAAACAACAGUGAAUCAUUGGCUGAACAAUGGCAGAACAAGUUCUUGCUUCUUCUGUCUGCAGAGAUAAAGUGCCAGUUCUUUUAGGCACCACAUGAAGUCCCAUCCAAGAGAAUUAAGCUUGGGACUGUUUUCACAAUGCCUUGUUCCAAUUAUGCAGUAUGCUUUCUCUUCUCUCAGCUGGCCUGUUAGUCUCCCUGUUGCCCUUUUCUCUGCAAGCUGGCUUCCAGCAAAUCGAGACUUUCUCUUUCCAGGCAUAGAGGACUCUACAGCAUUGUCAUCUGCAGAGAUGCAGGAGUCUUGCUGGUCCUCAGCUCUCAUGGAAUCAGGAGGAAGCACGAUUGUCCAGCUCCUCAAAUAAACUAGUAAUGGAGACCAAAGAGAUGGAUGCUGUUCUGUUGAAAACCAAGGACAAACAGCCAUCAAACUCCGAUCUUGCUGAUUUUCACUAACAAAAAUUUAUAAAACCCAGGCUCACUGCAUCCUCAGUUGGAGCAGAUUGAUACCUGGUGGUGCCAGCAGGUUUGCUUCAUUUUUCCCAUGUGGUGCAUGCUGGGAAGGUGCCAAGUAUCUGGAAAGCCAGCACAGCUGGAUCUGCAGGAUGGCACAGCUGGAUCUGUAGUAUGGAACAGCUGUCUGUGUAGGCAGUUGCCAUCCUCUGCACCCUGCAUCCACCUGCUGAUGCUGCUGACGGCGGUUUUGAACCCUCUCGGUCCUCGCGGAGGUGAACGGCAACCCGAUUGGAACCCAGAGCCCACCGGCUGUUGCGGGGCUGAAGAGAGCCCGUGCGUUUGGGUUCUGCCCCAGCGGAACAGUCCGGUGGUGUUUGCCGGCUGAUCCACAGUCAGAUGAGCUGCCGGGGGGCACACCUGGCUGAGCGGAGCGCUGGCUGCAAGGAAGAGCUUAUUUUCUCAGAGCUGCAGGGGACAGCAG